UGACUCUGCUUCACUCCUCCCCGCCCCCCCCACUCCUCCAGCUAAGCGAGGAGCAGUAACUGCCGUGAGUCGGGUGGUUUAAUGUCGUUGUGUUCAGAAAUCCAGGCCCAACAACAUGAAACUACCUAACUCACUCAGCAGUUCCAGUUCACGCUCCAGAACCCAGUUGCCAGCAAGCAACAUCUCCAAAGAACUGGAGGCAGGACUCCAGGCACAACCAUCUGGAACCAGUCCUGGCAGCUCAGAUGCCAGAAACUUUUGCUCUCUUCCGGAAGCCCUGGCUGGAGGGGACCCUGGACCCAGCCCCAGGCCUGGGCAGGGCCUUGUGGAUAUACCUGCUGGGUCACCCUCUCUCAGCCGCUGUCUCAGCAGCUGGAGGUCUCCAUAGAUAAAAAGACUUCUUCACUUCAAACUGUUAUCCAGGUGGUCUACACUCACCGUCUGCUCAGUGCCUGUAGUCCAGGGUCACCCCGGGGAACUCUGAGAAGCCGAAUCUUCAAGCCCUAUCCCAAACCUCGGCUUCGAGACUGGGAUACAGACAGGAGAGAGGAGAGGAGGGCCGAGAAGGUGACGGUCGGAGAAACAGACGGAAAAGCAGAGUGUGAGAAAGUAUCAGGAGCACUAGGGAGCAAACGGAAGAACACGACUGGAAGGGAAAGCGAGUUGACCUGAACAGUCGCUGUGAAGUCCCCCUGCCCGAAAAGUCCGGGGGCCGGCUCCGCAGAGGCUGAGCUGUCCCAGGUGCUCGCGCGCACACCGCGCCCCGGCCGGCGGCCAACUUACCUGGACGGCGGUGGCGGCUGGCCGGGCGGGAGCGACCGUCGGAAGGUGCGGCGCGAGCCUCCCGUCCCCGGCCGGCCGGCUCCCUCCCGCCCUCGCCCCGGAGGCGAGUGUCCGAGUGGCCACGUGUCCGGCGGGGAAGUCCGAGGGAGCGAAGGAGUCUGCCUGGCCGCCCGCGCCCCCUCCCGGGUAUAAAUCUUGGGGACCGGAAAGACAAUAAAACUUCACCAUGUUGAUGAACUUCAAACGGUUUACAUCCCCUCAUGUCCUGAAAAGAAAGACGGCCGGGGGGGGGGGGGGCCGGGGGGGGGGGGGGGGGGGGGGGGGGGGGGGGGGGGGCGGG
rnacentral:lncRNA from 1 species